rnacentral:rRNA from 1 species
CUAACACAUGCAAGUCGAACGAGAAAGUGGAGCAAUCCAUGAGUAAAGUGGCGCACGGGUGAGUAACACGUGACUACCUACCCUUGAGUGGGGGAUAACCUAGGGAAACCUGGGCUAAUACCGCAUAAUACCUACGGGUCAAAGGAGCAAUUCGCUUAAGGAGGGGGUCGCGGCCGAUUAGUUAGUUGGCGGGGUAAUGGCCCACCAAGACAAUGAUCGGUAUCCGGCCUGAGAGGGCGCACGGACACACUGGAACUGAAACACGGUCCAGACUCCUACGGGAGGCAGCAGUGGGGAAUUUUGCGCAAUGGGGGAAACCCUGACGCAGCAACGCCGCGUGGAGGAUGAAGUCCCUUGGGACGUAAACUCCUUUCGAUCGGGACGAUUAUGACGGUACCGGAAGAAGAAGCCCCGGCUAACUUCGUGCCAGCAGCCGCGGUAAU